rnacentral:rRNA from 1 species
UACGAAGGGGGCUAGCGUUGUUCGGAAUCACUGGGCGUAAAGGGCGCGUAGGUGGCCCGGUCAGUUCGUGGUGAAAGCGCGGGGCUCAACCCUGCGUCGGCCAUGAAUACUGCCGCGGCUGGAGCACUGUAGAGGCAGGCGGAAUUCCGGGUGUAGCGGUGGAAUGCGUAGAGAUCCGGAAGAACACCGGUGGCGAAGGCGGCCUGCUGGGCAGUUGCUGACACUGAGGCGCGACAGCGUGGGGAGCAAACAGG